AGACGUCUACAUUAGACUACCCGUGUAGUCCCAGCCGUAAACUAUGCUCGCUAGGUGUCAGGCAUGGCGCGACCGUGUCUGGUGCCGCAGGAAGCCGUGAAGCGAGCCACCUGGGAAGUACGGCCGCAAGGCUGAAACUUAAAGGAAUUGGCGGGGAGCACCACAACGGGUGGAGCCUGCGGUUUAAUUGGACUCAACGCCGGGAAGCUCACCGGAUAAGACAGCGGAAUGAUUGCCGGGCUGAAGACUCUGCAUGACUAGCUG
rnacentral:rRNA from 1 species